rnacentral:rRNA from 1 species
CGGCGGACGGGUGGGUAACACGUGGAUAACCUACCUAUAAGACUGGGAUAACUUCGGUAAACCGGAGCUAAUACCGGAUAAUAUAUUGAACCGCAUUGUUCAAUAGUGAAAGACGGUUUUGCUGUCACUUAUAGAUGGAUCCGCGCCGCAUUAGCUAGUUGGUAAGGUAACGGCUUACCAAGGCAACGAUGCGUAGCCGACCUGAGAGGGUGAUCGGCCACACUGGAACUGAGACACGGUCCAG